rnacentral:rRNA from 1 species
UGGGGAAUAUUGGGCAAUGGGCGCAAGCCUGACCCAGCAACGCCGCGUGAGGGAAGAGGGCCUUUGGGUUGUAAACCUCUGUCCUUAGGGACGAAAAAAAUGACGGUACCUAAGGAGGAAGCUCCGGCUAACUACGUGCCAGCAGCCGCGGUAAUACGUAGGGAGCAAGCGUUGUCCGGAAUUACUGGGCGUAAAGGGUGCGUAGGUGGCCAUGCAAGUCAGAUGUGAAAUCCCCGGGCUUAACUCGGGAUCUGCAUUUGAAACUGCAGUGCUUGAGUGCAGGAGAGGAAAGCGGAAUUCCUAGUGUAGCGGUGAAAUGCGUAGAUAUUAGGAGGAACACCAGUGGCGAAGGCGGCUUUCUGGACUGUAACUGACGCUGAGGCACGAAAGCGUGGGGAGCAAACA